rnacentral:piRNA from 1 species
UGAAGAAGAGGAUGAGGGUGUCUGCUGG